AUGAGAACUUGCCCUUCGGGGUAUACCUCCCACCCAUUGUUUAUUUUACCUUUGUUGCUUUGGCAGACCCGGCUUCGGCCCACCGGCUCCGGCUGGUCAGCGUCUGCCAGAGGACCUAAAACUCUGUUUGUUAAUAUUGUCUGAGUACUAUAUAAUAGUUA
rnacentral:misc_RNA from 1 species